AACAGGAUUAGAUACCCUGGUAGUCCAUACCGUAAACGAUGAAUGCUAAGUGUUGGAGGGUUUCCGCCCUUCAGUGCUGCAGCUAACGCAUUAAGCAUUCCGCCUGGGGAGUACGGCCGCAAGGCUGAAACUCAAAGGAAUUGACGGGGGCUCGCACAAGCGGUGGAGCAUGUGGUUUAAUUCGAAGCUACGCGAAGAACCUUACCAGGUCUUGACAUACUAUGCAAAUCUAAGAGAUUAGACGUUCCCUUCGGGGACAUGGAUACAGGUGGUGCAUGGUUGUCGUCAGCUCGUGUCGUGAGAUGUUGGGUUAAGUCCCGCAACGAGCGCAACCCUUAUUAUCAGUUGCCAGCAUUAAGUUGGGCACUCUGGUGAGACUGCCGGUGACAAACCGGAGGAAGGUGGGGAUGACGUCAAAUCAUCAUGCCCCUUAUGACCUGGGCUACACACGUGCUACAAUGGAUGGUACAACGAGUUGCGAACUCGCGAGAGUAAGCUAAUCUCUUAAAGCCAUUCUCAGUUCGGAUUGUAGGCUGCAACUCGCCUACAUGAAGUCGGAAUCGCUAGUAAUCGCGGAUCAGCAUGCCGCGGUGAAUACGUUCCCGGGCCUUGUACACACCGCCCGUCACACCAUGAGAGUUUGUAACACCCAAAGUCGGUGGGGUAACCUUUUAGGAACCAGCCGCCUAAGGUGGNANAGAUGAUUAGGGUGAAGUCGUAACAAGGUAACC
rnacentral:rRNA from 1 species